UACGAAGGGGACUAGCGUUGUUCGGAAUCACUGGGCGUAAAGCGCACGUAGGCGGAUUUGUAAGUCAGGGGUGAAAUCCCGGGGCUCAACCUCGGAACUGCCUUUGAUACUGCGAAUCUUGAGUCCGAUAGAGGUGGGUGGAAUUCCUAGUGUAGAGGUGAAAUUCGUAGAUAUUAGGAAGAACACCAGUGGCGAAGGCGGCCCACUGGAUCGGUACUGGACGCUGAGGUGGCGAAAG
rnacentral:rRNA from 1 species